rnacentral:rRNA from 1 species
UACAGAGGGUGCAAGCGUUAAUCGGAAUUACUGGGCGUAAAGCGUGCGUAGACGGUUACAUAAGUCGGGUGUGAAAGCCCCGGGCUCAACCUGGGAAUUGCAUUCGAGACUGCGUAGCUAGGGUGCGGAAGAGGGAAGCGGAAUUUCCGGUGUAGCGGUGAAAUGCGUAGAUAUCGGAAGGGACACCAGUGGCGAAAGCGGCUUCCUGGUCCAGCACCGACGUUCAGGCACGAAAGCGUGGGGAGCAAACAGG